GCCGGUCCUCGGUAGUGGCCCCCGGGCACCAACCCCCGGGUGCUUCGAUCGAAGACCGGC
rfam:Streptomyces sp. G25(2015) STSP_contig000066, whole genome shotgun sequence.